rnacentral:rRNA from 1 species
GCUUACGGCCACACCUCCCUGAGCACGCCCGAUCUCGUCUGAUCUCGGAAGCUAAGCAGGGUCGGCCCGUUAGUACUUGGAUGGAGACCGCCUGGGAAUACCAGGUGCUGUAAGCC